UAGCCGUAAACGAUACUCGCUAGGUGUCGGCCACGGUGCGACCGUUGUCGGUGCCGUAGGGAAGCCGUGAAGCGAGCCACCUGGGAAGUACGGCCGCAAGGCUGAAACUUAAAGGAAUUGGCGGGGGAGCACCGCAACGGGAGGAGCGUGCGGUUCAAUUGGAUUCAACGCCGGACAACUCACCAGGAGCGACGGUCACAUGAAGGCCAGGCUGAUGACCUUGCCUGAUUUUCCGAGAGGUGGUGCAUGGCGUAGUCGUGU
rnacentral:rRNA from 1 species